GAAAUGCGAUAAGUAAUGUGAAUUGCAGAAUUCAGUGAAUCAUCGAAUCUUUGAACGCACAUUGCGCCCGUCGGCAUUCCGGCGGGCAUGCCUGUUCGAGCGUCAUUGCAAACUCUCAAGCUGAACUUGUUUGAAAUUCGGCUUGGUUUUGGGCGAGCUUGUCCUCAGGUCGAAGGUGUCCCGCGUUUGGCUUUCGCCGACGGGCCCGCGACCCGCCCCAAAUUCUGACUUCCCGGUCGGAUGGCCGUCGGAUUUUCGUACCCGUCGCCCCAAUCGCAGAGCGUUGUAAUACCUUUUCCCGCUCUUUACGUUAGGGGUCCACUCGUGCGAGCCGUACUGUCCUUCCACCGGAGGGAAGUGGUGUCCUCCGGGACCCAAAAAUCUUAUCGAGUUUGACCUCGGAUCAGGUAGGAAUACCCGCUGAACUUAAGC
rnacentral:misc_RNA from 1 species